AAUGAACGCUGGCGGCGUGGUUAAGACAUGCAAGUCGAACGGUUUUCAUUGAAGGGCAACCGGAUAUGAAAGCAGUGGCGAACGGGUGCGUAACACGUGAACAAUCUACCUCCAAGUGGGGAAUAGCUCGCCGAAAGGACGAAUUAAUACCGCAUGUGGUAGUUUCUCGCAUGAGAGACUUACUAAAGUCAGGGACCGCAAGGCCUGACGCUAGGAGAGGAGUUCGCGGCCCANCAGCUAGUUGGCGAGGUAACGCUCACCAAGGCUAAGACGGGUAGCUGGUCUGAGAGGAUGAUCAGCCACACU
rnacentral:rRNA from 1 species